AUUGAACGCUGGCGGCAGGCCUAACACAUGCAAGUCGAGCGGAUGAAGAGAGCUUGCUCUCUGAUUUAGCGGCGGACGGGUGAGUAAUGCCUAGGAAUCUGCCUGGUAGUGGGGGAUAACGUUCCGAAAGGAACGCUAAUACCGCGUACGUCCUACGGGAGAAAGCAGGGGACCUUCGGGCCUUGCGCUAUCAGAUGAGCCUAGGUCGGAUUAGCUAGUUGGUGAGGUAAUGGCUCACCAAGGCGACGAUCCGUAACUGGUCUGAGAGGAUGAUCAGUCACACUGGAAAUGAGACACGGUCCAGACUCCUACGGGAGGCAGCAGUGGGGAAUAUUGGACAAUGGGCGAAAGCCUGAUCCAGCCAUGCCGCGUGUGUGAAGAAGGUCUUCGGAUUGUAAAGCACUUUAAGUUGGGAGGAAGGGCAUUAACCUAAUACGUUAGUGUUUUGACGUUACCGACAGAAUAAGCACCGGCUAACUUCGUGCCAGCCGCCGCGGUAACAC
rnacentral:rRNA from 1 species